GGUGGCCUAGUGGUUAGAGCGUCCGCCUCGGAUGCGGGAGGUCGUAGAUUCGAUCCCCGGCCAAGUCAUACCAGAGACU